rnacentral:lncRNA from 10 species
CUUCGUCACACUACUUUCAUUUUAGUAAAAAACAGAGACUCAAAUCCAUCAAAACACCGGCCAAUGUCAUAUCCUGUAUGGAAAAUGAGGAACAUGAAAUCUGUUCUUAAAACCACCAAUUCAGGAUUAUGUUCAUUACUACAUGGCCUCCUAAGUUUACUGACAAACCUAAUAUUAUAUGUCUAACUAGGUCUGCCAUAGAGAUGGCUAAGAAUUUUAUUUAUUUUUUUAAAUAACUCAAAAUUAAAACAAGAUCAAAAGUUACUUAGAUUCAUCCUGUCCAUUCUUUUCCAUCAAUUCAGUGGACUCACUUGAUUUCCAUGUUGGAUUUCCAUCUCUUCCUUGUGCAUUUUAGUUAUUUUUUUGAGUAUGCGAAAUAUUAACCAUUUAUGAAAACAUUCUUUAUAACAACGUAUACACACACAUUCACUUUUGACCAUAAAAAAUAUUGUAAGGAGGCCGGAUGCAGGGGUUCACGCCUGUAAUCCUAACACUUUGGCAGGCUGAGAUGGAUGGAUCACGAGGUAAGGAGUUCGAGACCAGCCUGACCAACAUAGUGAAAUCCCAUCUCUACUAAAAUAAAUAAAUAAAAACAAAAUUAGCUGUGUCUGGCAGUGUGUGCCUGUAAUCCCAGCUACUCAGGAGGCUGAGGCAGGAGAAUCUUUUAAAAAAAGUAUGCAUUACAUUGCUCAUGUACAUUAGUGUAGAUUCAUGAAUUCUGAUUUUAUUUUUUGUGUAAUACUCUAGUAUGGACCAUUAUCUUUUGUGGCUCAUAUUGUCUCAUGUUUGGUUGGACAUUAUGAACCUCUUAAAUUGAUUUUCUAUCUAUUACACAACUUCAUCAUGCUUUGAAUACUUUCAUACGUUUUGGGACCAUUCUUAUAUUGGUUCUAGUUCCAUUUUGAACAUUUGUAUGCUACUCCUGCAAUUAUCCAUUUCUCCAAUGAGUCUGGUUUCUAAUUCUGGAGAUGGAAAUUCACAAAAUAAUAUCCAGGUCUUAGAUAUACUCAUUGAGUUGUCACUACUUAUCGGUCUUCUCAGGGAAUAGAGAUAAAUGCAUCACACAUGCAUACACACACACAUACACAUACACAUACACACACAUCUCUCUCUCUCUCUCUCCCCCACCUCCCCUCCCUCCACCUGAGUUCACACUGACACCUGGUCCACAAGGUUUAUUUUAGCCUUCAUUUUUAAAUUUUUAUCUGCUUUAUCUGACAGUGAAAAAUCUACCUCUUAUUAUCCACAUUUUGUUUGUUU